UCGUACAUCCGAGGAGGGGUCCGGUCGCGCCCUGCUCCGGUCCAAACGGCCGUGAAGCGGGUCCCGGGUCCCGACUCUACCAACCAAAAACCCCCCUUGUGCUCCUUUACGGCCAGAGGGCGAUGCUGCCGGCGAGAGCCGCGCGCGCCCGAAGCCGCAUCACAACAAACACCGAGUCCAAAAGAAUGUCCAGCGGACCAUGUGCCGCCUACAACUGAAA
rnacentral:misc_RNA from 1 species